CUGAUCCCUUUUGAGCAAAAGUUCAGUUGGAGAUAAUUGAGCUGCUUCUGAAAGCAUGUGAUGCUGUGGAGAACUAUGUCAAAAAGUGUAAGACUUUGGUUUUCGAAUACAGACCGUUCAUCUCUGAGGAGAAAUGGAGGUUCAACUUCUAGCUUUUAUUGGUACUUAGAUUCAAGUGGCAUCUCUUGUGGUGUAUUUUACUUGGAGAUACUUUGAUGUUUUGUUUAUUAUCUCCUAGG